rnacentral:tRNA from 1 species
GGCCCAGUGGCUCAGUUGGUUUAGAGUGCCGGCCUGUCACGCCGGAGGUCGAGGGUUCAAGUCCCUUCUGGGUCGCCA